CUUUCUUGGGUUUGCAGCCAGCAUGCUGGUGGUGGAGUUGUCUAAGGAAGAGUACAUGAAGAGCUAAUCAAGAUAAGUCAGUAAUCUUGAAUAACUAGGGAAAAAAAAGAGGUAAAAGAAAUGGAAACAUGGUUUUCCUGAAGCCAUCUCCAUCUCCAAAAUUUGUUCUGAUGGAGCCUAUGGAACAGCAAAAAUUCAAAAGUGGAGUCAGAAGACUUUCCUUGGGCAAUGUCGGCAUGAACUUAAAAAAUAAUAUAUCAGCAAAACGUAUUGAAUAAAUUCUAAGUCAUGAAGAUUUUUUUUUUGGUGGAAAGAAAGGGGUUUAUAAUGGCAAUUCAAUACCAAAUCAUUAUCAUCAGGAACUACAGAAGCAUUAUCUUUAAAGAUUCGGGAUUUCAUCAUCCAUUGAGGUUAUACAAGGAAAUAGUGAAGAGAGUGAAACACAUCACAGCAAGGCUGUAAAUAAGGUACCUAGGAAGCUAAAAUUACAUUAACAAGAAGCUCUCUAUCUUUCAUGGAAUAAAAGAUAACAAAUACAGAUACAGACCUCAAAAUAGUCUGGAGAGUUCAAUCUCUACAGGAUACUGGACCAUUAUCACAGACAAAAACCUUUGCCUACUGUUGCCUGGAUUUAACAAUAAUUCUGAAAACUUAAAGAUAAUAUUUGAAUAUCUCUUAGCAUACCAAAUACUUGAUUUCCAAAUUACAUGGAAUGAAAAAAUUUCUAAAUAUAGAGGUCCCUAUGAGAUCAAAAUCACAUGAGAACGAGAUGGGGUACAUAUUAUUGCCCUACUGGAAUUGUGUUAAGAUUGCUUUUGGCAAGCCUAGAAAGGAUAAAUUUACAUUCUAAUACUUUUAUUCAACUACAAAGAGCUGUUAACAAUAAUAAUAACUAGCUUUAUAUACUGCCUUAAAAUUUUUUAAAACAUUUUACAAAUAUUAUUUUAUACUUUUAACAACCAUGGGAGGUACGUGCUUUUACUAUUCCAUUUUGUAGAUGAAGAAAUUGAGGCAGACAGAAGUUAAAUUUAAAUGUCUUGCCUGGGGUCACUGUAACAGAGGAAGACUUGGUCUUCCAUAUUUUAGAUACAAUACUCUAUUCACUAUGCUUCCUAGAUAUAUAUUUAAAUCAACCUCUGUAAUUUUCUAUAGGACUCUGACUAUAAAGGAAUGAAAGCCAAGAUUGUGAGCUGUCCCAGGACUGAUUUUAACGGAACCCUUUUGAAAAAGAUGAGAAAACAGAGAGAGUAACAACAUUCACUCUCUGUUUCUUUCUAUCUGUCUUUCUC